CCUACGGGAGGCAGCAGUGGGGAAUAUUGCACAAUGGGGGAAACCCUGAUGCAGCGACGCCGCGUGAGUGAAGAAGUAUUUCGGUACGUAAAGCUCUAUCAGCAGGGAAGAAAAUGACGGUACCUGACUAAGAAGCCCCGGCUAACUACGUGCCAGCAGCCGCGGUAAUACGUAGGGGGCAAGCGUUAUCCGGAUUUACUGGGUGUAAAGGGAGCGUAGACGGCAGCGCAAGUCUGGAGUGAAAUCCCAUGGCUUAACCAUGGAACUGCUUUGGAAACUGUGCAGCUAGAGUGCAGGAGAGGUAAGCGGAAUUCCUAGUGUAGCGGUGAAAUGCGUAGAUAUUAGGGGGAACACCAGUGGCGAAGGCGGCUUACUGGACUGUAACUGACGUUGAGGCUCGAAAGCGUGGGGAGCAAACAGGAUUAGAUACCCCAGUAGUC
rnacentral:rRNA from 1 species